UGUUGGGAAGCAUAGUGGAAAAUAGACGUAAAAGGAGAAAGUCCUUGGGAAAAUGGCGAAGGGCCAGAAGUACGCGGCUUUGCACUAUGGACAGAAAGACAUCUCCUGACUUUGGUUAUGCUUGGCGCCAAGAGUUAAUAAUAAAUAGGGAUGUUACUUGUGAGAGUGGGUUGUGGGAGAAGCCCAUAAGUCAUUUAGAGCGCGCUGUCCUUGAAAUGUUUCUACUGAUUAUGUGUUAACUCUGUAUGCGCUCUGCUGGCCACAUACUUUAAGCUCUUUGUUCCUGCUUCUAUAAAAAAGCUUGACUUCAGAAAUAAACUUGUCAGUCCUUGCAAGAGACUGUCCAAGUGUCCUUCUUUCAGCUUUGUCGCUUCCAAGUCCUGGGGAGAAAAACCCCAACAAGUGGCACCCAAACAGGGACUUGAGAGAAAGGCUGAACAAAGCGACGAGCCCCUGUAGAAAGAGAUGGAGAGGAAAUCUGGGUUCCCCUUCGCCAUGUCUGCUACCGAGAAGCACCCCAAGACCAGACUCCCUCGAAAAGUGAUGAAGUUGAUGCGAAGGGUCUCAAUGACCCUGGAGGAGCCAAUGAGGAAAUGCCAUCGUCUGAAUCCUUACCUGACAUAGGCUCAAGUGAAAAAACAUGACUCAUCAGGCUGAGCAGACACUGACGAGCAAGAGGAACAUCAUAACUGCUCCUGGUUUAAUAGAUCAAGCAUUGGAGGCUUUCAUAAAUCUAAGACAAGUUUCUGGACUGAUAAGGACAUACUGCUGAAUUGGUAUAACGGGGGCUUAUCACCCCCACGACCCAGGAUUGUUGUCCCCAUUGUGGAGCCGGAGCAAUGGCACAUUUGGAAAAUUCCAGCAGCCUUAGAGCACUUCGCUAGUGUUUAUGGGACUGUGGGUGUGUUUCAUCCUUGUAAUUAUACCUUCCUAUAUAAUAGUACUGGCUAUAUUCAAUCAUGUGUUCACGUUCUUUUUUUUUUGUUUGUUUGUUUUUGUUUUUUUUGUUUUUGUUUUUUUUGUGUGUGUGUUCACAUUCUGUAUUUGUUUAUUGUAGGGCAUUUUGAUAUUGACUUAUCAGCCAAGAUUGUCAAUUGUACUGCAUGUGCAUUGUAUACCUGCCUUAAUCACACCAUUUCAUAUCACAAUGCUAGCAUUGUGCUAAACAAAGAUCUGAGUUAUGGCUUCCCAUAAACUUAAUUGAGCUUUGGACUGAUUCUAUAUUUCUUUCUGUAUUGUUGAAAACUAGGCUUAGGCGAUCUAAGCGCAUCAUUGGGUGGAUUUUUGCAGGCAUCUUAAGCCUUAUCUCCAUUGUGACUGUAGGAACUUUGUCUGGUAUGGCUUUACAUAAUUCUAUACAAAAUUAUGAUUUUAUCACUGUUUGGCACAAAGACUCUCAUGAUCUGUGGACUGGACAAGCUCAAAUAGAUCAGCAAUUACAAACACGAAUUAAUGAGUUACAAACUGUGGUUAUCUACUUAGGAGAUCAAAUGCAGCAACUGACUUUCUGAACACGUAUAUGCUGUCACUGGAAUUUUACUUCUUUUUGUCUGACUAACAUGCCCUAUAACAGCACUGAAUAUCCUUGGAAUAAGGUUAAGGCGCAUUUGCAGGAUCUCACAAGUAACUCAAGUUUAGACAUCAAUUUGCUGAAACAACAAGUUGCUAAUUUUCAAGUUAGAGUACCUAGGGAAUUGUAUAGUACUCAAUUCUAUGAUACUUUAACCAAAACCCUAUUGUCUCUAGACCCUAGAGCUUGGCUUUCAGGAAGCAUUAUUUUUAUAUAUGUAUUAAUCACCCUGCUCUUUUUGUCCUUGAUUAUGGGAUACAGAAGUCUCUACUCAAGACUCCGUGCCUCCCACAAUGGAGUCCAACUAGCUGCCGCCAUGCUUAAUUUAAAAACAAAAGGAGGACAUGUUGGGAAGCGUAGUGCAAAAUAGCCAUAAAAGGGGAAAGUCCUUGGGAAAAUGGCGAAGGGCCAGAAGUACGCAGCUUUGCACUACGGACAGAAAGACAUCUCCUGCCUUUGGUUAUGUUCGGCGCCAAGAGUUAUUAAUAAAUAGGGAUGUUACUUGUGAGAGCGGGUUGUGGGAGAAGCCCAUGAGUCAUUUACAGCGCGCUGUCCUUGAAAUGUUUCUACUGAUUAUGUGUUAACUCUGUAUGCGCCCUGCUGGCCGCAUACUUUAAGCUCUUUGUCUGCUUCUAUAAAAAAGCUUGACUGCAAGAGACUGUCCAAGUGUCCUUCUUUCAGGUUCGUCGCUUCCAAGUCCCGGGGAGAAAAACCCCAACAGUAGCCACUAGCCACUUGGGGCUAGUGGGCAUUUGAACAGUGGGUAGAUUUUAAAUUUUUAUUUAAUUAUAACUGACUUAAAUUUAAACACUCAAAUGUGGUUAAUGGCUACUGUAUUGGACAGCAGCUCUAAAUGUAUGAUUUGGAUUUAAAAAUUACAGCAUUUUAGAGAAGAAUUUUUCCACCACCAAUUUUUUACCACUGAUGUCAGGAAUGGAGUACAAAAUCAAUACAUAUUUGCAAAACUCACCAUAAUAUUGUAAAAUAGUGUGCAAGUCACUCAGUUAUGUCCAACUCUUUGAGAGCCCAUGGACUGUAGCCUGCCAGGCUCCUCUGUCCAUUGGAUUCUCCAGGCAAGCAAACUGGGGUGGGUUGGUGUGCCCUAAUUAGCCUCCAAUUAAAAUACAUUAAAAAAACCAAACUUUUGGUUAUUUCUUGUGAAAAAGUGAUACAGGUAUAGAUCAGAUAUUUAGGCAUUGAUUAGAUAUUUAUUUGUAAUGUUUACAUAGAUGACUACCUGAACAAGGUAUUACUCAAGGAUUGAUUCGAAAGAUCUGGUGCUUAUAGUCAUUCAGAAGAUAUUGUGUUAGAAAAGCAGUAAACAGGGAGUGAAAGAAUAAACCUUGAUAAAAUUCUAACUAAGGAAAAACUAUGGUAUGAAAUAUAAUUUAUGGUUAUAAGGAUGGGCUUUGAAGAGGAACAAGGGAGCCUUGGCAUGGUGACUGAUAGCUGUGUAAUACUGGCAAUUUACAUAGAAUCUGUGAGCUUCCGUCAUUUUACUAUAAAGUAGGAAUGCUUGUUAUUGUUUAGUCAUGUUUGACUCUUUGCAACCUCAUGGACUGCAACCCGCCAGGCCUCCCUGCCCGUCACCAACUCCCGGAGCUUGCUCAAACUCAUGUCCAUUGAGUCAGUGAUGCCAUCCAACCAUCUCAUCCUCUGUUGGCCCCUUCUCCCCAC
ensembl:lncRNA